UCCGUAGGGGGCAAUCGUUGUCCGGAUUUACUGGGUGUAAAGGGCGCGCAGGCGGGAUAAAAAGUCAGUGGUGAAAUCCUACAGCUUAACUGUAGAACUGCCUUUGAUACUUUUAUUCUUGAGUUCGGGAGAGAGAGACGGAAUUCCAGGUGUAGUGGUGAAAUACGUAGAUAUCUGGAAGAACACCAGUUGCGAAGGCGGUCUCUUGGUCCGAUACUGACGCUGAGGCGCGAAAGCGUGGGGAGAAAACAGG
rnacentral:rRNA from 1 species